rnacentral:rRNA from 1 species
CCUACGGGUGGCUGCAGUCGAGAAUCAUUCACAAUGGGCGAAACCCUGAUGGUGCGACGCCGCGUGGGGGAAUGAAGGUCUUCGGAUUGUAAACCCCUGUCAUGUGGGAGCAAAUUAAAAAGACUGUACCACAAGAGGCAGCGACCGCUAACUCAGUGCCAGCAGCCGCGGUAAUACAGAGGUCUCAAUCGUUGUUCGGAGUCAGUGGGCGGAAAGCGUGCGUCGGCGGUUUAUUAGUUCGUGUGUGAAAGGCGCGGGCUCAACCUGCGGACGGCACAUGAUACUGCGAGACUAGAGUAAGGUAGGGGGAACUGGAAUUUUUGGUGUAGGAGUGAAAUGCGUAGAGAUCGGAAGGAACACUCGUGGCGAAGGCGGGUUCCUGGA